rnacentral:rRNA from 1 species
GACGAACGCUGGCGGCGUGCCUAAUACAUGCAAGUUGAGCGCUGAAGGUUGGUACUUGUACCAACUGGAUGAGCAGCGAACGGGUGAGUAACGCGUGGGGAAUCUGCCUUUGAGCGGGGGACAACAUUUGGAAACGAAUGCUAAUACCGCAUAAAAACUUUAAACACAAGUUUUAAGUUUGAAAGACGCAAUUGCAUCACUCAAAGAUGAUCCCGCGUUGUAUUAGCUAGUUGGUGAGGUAAAGGCUCACCAAGGCGAUGAUACAUAGCCGACCUGAGAGGGUGAUCGGCCACAUUGGGACUGAGACACGGCCCAAACUCCUACGGGAGGCAGCAGUAGGGAAUCUUCGGCAAGGGACGAAAGUCUGACCGAGCAACGCCGCGUGAGUGAAGAAGGUUUUCGGAUCGUAAAACUCUGUUGGUAGAGAAGAACGUUGGUGAGAGUGGAAAGCUCAUCAAGUGACGGUAACUACCCAGAAAGGGACGGCUAACUACGUG